rnacentral:rRNA from 1 species
GACGAACGCUGGCGGCGUGCUUAACACAUGCAAGUCGAACGGAAAGGCCCUGCUUUUGUGGGUUGCUCGAGUGGCGAACGGGUGAGUAACACGUGAGUAACCUGCCCUUGACUUUGGGAUAACUUCAGGAAACUGGGGCUAAUACCGGAUAGGAGCUCCUGCUGCAUGGUGGGGGUUGGAAAGUUUCGGCGGUUGGGGAUGGACUCGCGGCUUAUCAGCUUGUUGGUGGGGUAGUGGCUUACCAAGGCUUUGACGGGUAGCCGGCCUGAGAGGGUGACCGGCCACAUUGGGACUGAGAUACGGCCCAGUCUCCUACGGGAGGCAGCAGUGGGGAAUAUUGCACAAUGGGCGGAAGCCUGAUGCAGCAACGCCGCGUGCGGGAUGACGGCCUUCGGGUUGUAAACCGCUUUCGCCUGUGACGAAGCGUGAGUGACGGUAAUGGGUAAAGAAGCACCGGCUAACUACGUG